GGAUAACCUGCCCUAAGGAAGGGGAUAACCUCGGGAAACUGAGGAUAAUACCCUAUAGGAUACCGAUGCUGGAAUGCCCGGUAUCCCAAAGCUCCGGCGCCUUAGGAUGGAUCUGCGGCCGAUUAGGUCGUUGUUGGGGUAACGGCCCAACAAGCCGAUAAUCGGUACGGGUUGUGGGAGCAAGAGCCCGGAGUUGGAUUCUGAGACACGAAUCCAGGCCCUACGGGGCGCAGCAGGCGCGAAAACUUUACAAUGCGGGCAACCGUGAUAAGGGAACCUCGAGUGCCUGUACAUGCAGGCUGUCUGGGUGUCUAAAACACACCCAAAGAAAGGGCCGGGCAAGACCGGUGCCAGCCGCCGCGGUAAUACCGGCGGCUCGAGUGGUGGCCACUUUUAUUGGGCUUAAAGCGUUCGUAGCUGGGUUGUUAAGUCUCUUGGGAAAUCUGGCAGCUUAACUGUCAGGCGUCUAAGAGAUACUGGCAAUCUAGGAACCGGGAGAGGUGAGGGGUACUUCGGGGGUAGGAGUGAAAUCCUGUAAUCCUCGAGGGACCACCUGUGGCGAAGGCGCCUCACCAGAACGGCUUCGACAGUGAGGGACGAAAGCUGGGGGAGCAAACCGGAUUAGAUACCCGGGUAGUCCCAGCCGUAAACGAUGCGCGUUAGGUGUGUCGACGACCACGAGUCAUCGAGGUGCCGAAGGGAAACCGUGAAACGCGCCGCCUGGGAAGUACGGUCGCAAGGCUGAAACU
rnacentral:rRNA from 1 species